GUACUUCCGGUGGAUUACCGGAAAUGAUUGUGCGCCCCAAUGCGCGGCCUGGGCUGGUUGCUAGGAGACGGUGUGCGGUGGAUAAGAGGGACUGACAGAGCUGAGUUCCAUCUGCCAUCAGAUGUCUUUCUGCCUGACCGAGCUGCACCUGUGGUCUAUGAAGAAUACCUUACAAGUCAAGGAUACCGAUGUUGGCACCUAUCAAUACUAUGAUAAGAGAGAGGCAGUUUCACCGUCAGACUGCUGUUACUUAGAAGAGAAGCAGCAUAUGACAGAGGCUCGAGAAUACUUGUGGACACCCAAGAAUAGACGCCCAGCUAAACUUCGAGACACCCUCAAGGAGUUUGAGGAACUGCUGCAUUGCAGCCAUUGUGUGCUGAGCAAAUUCAAGAACAAGAACUUUUGUCAGCUUUUCUUUGGAUCAGGUGUACUGGUGUCAUUAAGCCUCUCUGGGCCACAUCUGGAAAAAGUCAUGAUCGACAGAACCUUAGUGGGAAGAUUCAUCUCUGACACCAUCAAUGAUGCUGUACUUGCAGACAAUUUUAUGAUCAUAGCUUUUCUGGAGACCAGCAAGCUUUGCUUUGUUCAAUUUACAAAGAAACAAAGUUCCCCAGAUGUUGACAGAAGAAUCGAAAAGCUUUCCUCUUCUGAUCUUAAGAUUUCUUACAUUGAUUUACCAGGACCUACAGGACGGAGGGUGGAACGCCGUUUGGCCAUUAACCAUAUGCAGGAUAUAGUGAUUUGCUGGUGGAAGACAGCUAAUGGAGACGUUUGGCCUUGGUCUCCAAUAUCCAGCGAAAGUGACCGAGCUAAUGUGGUGUUGUUAAGCUGCACAAAUGGCAGACUUGAGAUUUUAAGCUUCAUACGCACAGAAGGCGAUCCACUUGAUGCUGGUUUCAGUAUUAAUCAGCCCUAUCAGGUCCAUACAGUAGAAUGCUUUAUUGGUCCAGACAAAGAUCCAAUGGCAGAUAGCUGCAUCUAUGAGUGUGCUCGGAAUAAAUUGCAACGUGUCGCAGUCGUUAGCAUCCCAUUGAGGUCCAAAGCCACUUGCUGCAGCAGAAAUAUUAUAGAAGACAAACUUGCAUUAGGUUGUGAGGAUUCUUCACUGAUUUUAUAUGAUGCUCAUCGCAAAGUAACUUUACUAGCUCAAGCUGAUCUGAUCCCUUCUUUGAUAGCAUGGCAUCCUGAUGGUGCAUUAAUUAUGGUGAGCAGCUGUCAAGGUGAAGUUCAGUGUUACGACAUGGCACUGUCACCAAUGAAGAUGCAAUUGUUAGAGGAGGACAUAAAACCUGUGAGCAAGCUUCAACUCAACCAACAUUUUGCUAUAACAAGCAGGUUGGUUCAAAUUCAGUGGACAGUUCCCCCGGUAAUUCCUCCGAGCAACAACAGCCUCAAUGUGCAUGAUCUCAUGUUUCUGAGAUUUGAUAAAGGACCUGUUGGAGUAUUUUGUUUGAAACUAGGUGCCAUAUUGAGAGGACAGCUGGGUCCCACUGAACUCAUCUGCCAAUAUAUUCGUUAUGAGCAAAUCGAUGAAGCUGUUAAUAUCUUGUGCGGCAUGAACUGGAAUACUGUGGGCUCACAGUGCUACAUUUGCCUCAUUGCCAUUGUGGAUCACCUCCUUAAACAGAAGCUUACACCAGAAAGAGAAUCAUAUCUUGAAGCAAGUCUUGGAACAUUUUAUGCCCCUACAAGACCCUUGACUGAUACAACUGUGUUAGAAUACAGGGAUCCGAUCAGUUGCUAUGCCAGGCGUUUUUUUCACCAUCUGCUCAGGUUCCAGAGGUUUGAAAAGGCUUUCCUGCUGGCGGUAGAUAUAGGUUCACGAGACCUCUUCAUGGACAUCUAUUAUGUGGCCUUGGAUAAGGGUGAGUUGGCACUGGCUGAAGUGGCUAAGAAGAAAGCUAAUGAGAUUGAUGCGGAAUCAAUAACAGCUGAAGUUGUGCCAAUUGAGAUGGAAUUAACUUGGAAACUCUGGAGUUUCCUUUGUCAGGAGACAGUGCAGAAACACCUCCUGCAUCAUUUAAUGCUGAAAGAUCAAAGAAUAGGAAUCCUUCUUCAGGAUCAGGCAGCAACAGCAGCCAUUCAUUACAGCUUGGUGCACAGAACAAUCCUUUUGGCAGUUCUUCUUGCCAUAACAUGACCAGUGACAUAGGGAGUGAACUUGGGUUCAAUGCCUAUGCGACAGCCUUGACAGAUGACCCUUUGGCCUGGACCCAAGCAGGGAAUUCUUUUGAUGGAGACAGAGACCCACAGGAACUUGAAAACAGCAGCACACUGAAAGUGGUACACUUUGGUCUAGUGUGAAUGGAGUUUUUAUAUUGAUAUAGAGAAUUUAGUAGUGACUUUAAAUAAAAGUGGUCUCUAAAUGGCAUGGUAGACAAAGUAAAUGUGAUGAUUUUUAAUUACUGUUGUCCUCAUCUAUUUAAAGGCAUCCUGCUUUUUCCAUUGUUCAGUCAGUAUCAUAUAAAACACGAACUGCAAAAAAGGUUGCCACGGUUUCAAAAGAAUGAGAUGACAUUUUAAUCUAAUCAUUCCAUUACUUCUCUCCUGCAAAGAUAUUUUGGUGGUACAUAAGCUUAUUCUAUACACUUCUUGAAAUAGUGGAUAUUCCUUAUAUAAUCUUGAAUAAGUGAGGUGGGGAAAUACAUUGUCUAUUAUUUCGUUAUGUUGCUGAAGUUGAAUUACUUCCAAUUUUGUUCAGUAACUUCUCCCUAUAGCCACAAAAAUAUUAAUAAUCUGCAAUAUUUAGUUCCACAUAAACAAAUAGUAAACACCUAGUUUUAGUAUCUAGUUGUUUGUGAUAUAAACAAAGCUCAUAAUGGACAGAAUUUAAUUCAUUGUGACUUCCAAUGUGAAGGAAUUUGUAUCUCAUUAUGGACAAAUAAAUGGAUAUAAUCUUAA